GUACACUCCUACGGGAGGCAGCAGUGGGGAAUUUUGGACAAUGGGCGAAAGCCUGAUCCAGCAAUGCCGCGUGAGUGAAGAAGGCCUUCGGGUUGUAAAGCUCUUUUGUCAGGGAAGAAACGGUGAGAGCUAAUAUCUUUUGCUAAUGACGGUACCUGAAGAAUAAGCACCGGCUAACUACGUGCCAGCAGCCGCGGUAAUACGUAGGGUGCAAGCGUUAAUCGGAAUUACUGGGCGUAAAGCGUGCGCAGGCGGUUUUGUAAGUCUGAUGUGAAAUCCCCGGGCUCAACCUGGGAAUUGCAUUGGAGACUGCAAGGCUAGAAUCUGGCAGAGGGGGGUAGAAUUCCACGUGUAGCAGUGAAAUGCGUAGAUAUGUGGAGGAACACCGAUGGCGAAGGCAGCCCCCUGGGUCAAGAUUGACGCUCAUGCACGAAAGCGUGGGGAGCAAACAGGAUUAGAAACCCCGGUAGUCC
rnacentral:rRNA from 1 species